AUUGAACGCUGGCGGCAUGCUUUACACAUGCAAGUCGAACGGCAGCGCGGGCUUCGGCCUGGCGGCGAGUGGCGAACGGGUGAGUAAUUCAUCGGAACGUGCCCAGUAGUGGGGGAUAGCCCGGCGAAAGCCGGAUUAAUACCGCAUACGACCUGAUGGUGAAAGCGGGGGACCGAAAGGCCUCGCCCGAUUUGAUCGGCCGAUGUCGGAUUAGCUAGUUGGUGGGGUAAAGGCUUACCAAGGCGACGAUCCGUAGCUGGUCUGAGAGGACGACCAGCCACACUGGGACUGAGACACGGCCCAGACUCCUACGGGAGGCAGCAGUGGGGAAUUUUGGACAAUGGGGGCAACCCUGAUCCAGCCAUGCCGCGUGCGGGAAGAAGGCCUUCGGGUUGUAAACCGCUUUUGUUCGGGAAGAAAUCCUCUGGGCUAAUACCCCGGGGGGAUGACGGUACCGGAAGAAUAAGCACCGGCUAACUACGUG
rnacentral:rRNA from 1 species